CAUGUAGGCGGCCUAUUAAGUCGGGCGUGAAAAUGCGGGGCUCAACCCCCGUAUGGCGCCCGAUACUGGUGGGCUUGAGUGCAGGAGAGGAAAGGGGAAUUCCCAGUGUAGCGGUGAAAUGCGUAGAUAUUGGGAGGAACACCAGUGGCGAAGGCGCCUUUCUGGACUGUGUCUGACGCUGAGAUGCGAAAGCCAGGGGAGCGAACG
rnacentral:rRNA from 1 species